AGUUGUAGUUGGUUACUUUUAUAAAUACGCACAACAUAUGGUUAUAAUUAUUAUUAUUACUACUAUUAUUAGUAGUAGUAGUAUUAUUAUUAUUCAUAUAUUAUGCAGUCAGUCUUCCAUAUUUAAAGUUAAAUUAGAUUAACCAAGUUGACAGUUUGGUAGGCAGAUGUUACAUUUACAUGUCAGGAUCUGGUUAUUAUAACACAGAUUCAAUAUUUAACUGUCAUGUAUCAUCACAGUAACAUCGUUACACACAUUAGCAGCUUAACACUCAUUAAAAUAUUAUAAAAUACAUCCUGUGGUUUGGUACCUACCUGUAUACUAAACAUAUAAGGACUCGUUAACGAUUCUAAUCAUCAUGUUACAUCUGCCUCAGCCACUCCUACAUCUAGGGGUUAACUGUCAUUUCCAGUCUCUCUCCCUCUCCUCGUGUGAGUGUGUGAGUGCUUCAGGUGUGCCGGACACAGAGCAGAGCGGUAACCACCAGCUGCAGACAAUCCUGCAGUCAGCCUGCCUUCAUAUGCUCAGCCCUGCCACUUCCACGCUGCCAGAUCGUAGCCACUGUUGAACUUUUUGCCUGCUCAGCUCUCCGGCCGCUGUCACUCUGGACCUGCUCCCCCGUCUGCUCCGUUAAUCCCGCUCAGGAUUCAGCCUCCUGGACUGCUCCCACCUCCUGAACUCUUCCCCUUCACUGACUCUGGACCAUCCCAGCCCUGCCCCAGAUCCAACCUAGUAAAAAUAAACUAAAUCUGGUUUGAA